rnacentral:lncRNA from 1 species
GCGGAACGGAGGAGUUAAGUGGAGGACCAGUUCGGCGGAGGAGAGCGCUGGUGUCCGGCCGAAGCUGAAGUUCAGCGGAGCUGAAGUCUGGCGGAGCGGAGUCUGACGGAGACCACGAGCUCGGUCGAAGGUGGACAGAGCUACAGUUCCCAGCGGAGCUGGUUCCCAGCGGAGGACCGGAGCUGCAGUGAUCGAAGCUCGACGAAGAGAGAGGACGCUGAUGAGCAAAGAAUCCCAUGGGUGGCCAGAGAAGAUGGCUGGGUUCCUGGAGCUCCGAGUUCGGCGGUGCUGGAGGAGCGUCAUUGGUGUUUGGUCCCCACAUGAAGCUCGGCGGAGGUUUAGCCGCUGGAGGGGGCUGGCGG